rnacentral:rRNA from 1 species
AACGAACGCUGGCGGCAUGCCUAACACAUGCACGUCGAACGAGAUCUUCGGGUCUAGUGGCGCACGGGUGCGUAACGCGUGGGAAUCUGCCCUUUGGUUCGGAAUAACAGUUGGAAACGACUGCUAAUACCGGAUGAUGACGAAAGUCCAAAGAUUUAUCGCAAGAGGAUGAGCCCGCGUAGGAUUAGCUAGUUGGUGUGGUAAAGGCACACCAAGGCGACGAUCCUUCGCUGGUCUGAGAGGAUGAUCAGCCACACUGGGACUGAGACACGGCCCAGACUCCUACGGGAGGCAGCAGUGGGGAAUAUUGGACAAUGGGCGAAAGCCUGAUCCAGCAAUGCCGCGUGAGUGAUGAAGGCCUUAGGGUUGUAAAGCUCUUUUACCCGGGAUGAUAAUGACAGUACCGGGAGAAUAAGCUCCGGCUAACUCCGUGCCAGCAGCCGCCGUAA